rnacentral:misc_RNA from 1 species
UAACCCUCAAGCCUGGCUUGGUGUUGGGGCCUGCCUGUUGGCAGCCCUUAAAAUCAGUGGCGGUGCUAUUUUGCUCUGAGCGUAGUAAAUCUUCUCGCUAUAGAGUCUUGGUAGCCACUUGCCAACAACCUAAACUUCUAUGGU